UACGUAGGGUGCGAGCGUUGUCCGGAAUUAUUGGGCGUAAAGAGCUCGUAGGCGGUUUGUCGCGUCGACUGUGAAAACCCGAGGCUUAACCUCGGGCCUGCAGUCGAUACGGGCAGACUAGAGUUCGGUAGGGGAGACUGGAAUUCCAGGUGUAGCGGUGAAAUGCGUAGAUAUCUGGAGGAAUACCGGUGGCGAAGGCGGCAUCCUGGACCAUUACUGACGCUGAGGCGCGAAAGCUAGGGGAGCAAACGGG
rnacentral:rRNA from 1 species